CAGACGCGGCAGAGAGGGGCAGGUCUUACUGGCGUGGAGACUGUACAAGGGCACUUUUCCUUACAACCCCCAACAGCCGCGACCCUAAGGCUUCCACGGCCCGGAGCCGCUCCCGCGCCGCGCGCCUCCCUCCCAGUCCGCCGCUCCCGCGCCCGGAUUCCCCAAAGGGCCGCCCAGGUCGCCCUCGAGUCCCCGCCCCCCGUUUCCCCGUCGGCCUUAUCCCUCCGGGAGUACCGCUGGGCUGCAGUUCUCUGGUUUUAAUAAAACCCGAGUGGCCCCGGGCUAGCGGGCUUUCCUCCGGGAGGCAGAGGCGGGGAGAGGAAGGGAAAAAAGGAAAGGCCGGAGGGUCCCCUCACCGCCCUCCCUGAGCUCCGCGUGGGGCGAGGGCGGGCGCGCCCUGGCUCUCGGUGCCGACCCGACCCGCGACCCCGCAGAGGCUCUCUGAACUCAGUCAGGUUUUGUUCUGCCCGAAGAAAGCACUCGCUCUCCCAGACGGCGCUUCCCUGGACCUCCCAUCCGCGAGUUCGUCCCGACAGGGCGGGCGGACCCGAGCUUACAGACCCAUCCCUGCCGCCCGCGCUCAGGGCACAGCGUGCGGCCCCGCGGCGCCUGUCAGCGUGCAAACCCGCCCGCCUGCUGCUUCCUCCGCCGAACAGGCUGCGCGGAACGCAGAGCCUGCGCAAUAGCUGCUGUGAAGUUCCUGAUGCCCUGAACUCUGAAUCUCUCCAAGCCAGGCAGGGCAAGGUUGAGUUGCCGCGUUUUGGACCGCAGAAGCCCACUCUCGGAGCCAUCUCCUUUACAAUUGUGGAAAGGGAUCAGUUCUCCUCGGUUUUAGCCGAAAGGGUUAAGUGCAUACGGGAGACCACUGGAGCGAAAGUCUGCUGUUGAACUAGAUAAGGCAACAGCGAAAAGCACUCAAAAUUGAUGUUACAGCUUCACUCCCUUAUGAUAGACUUAAUGUGAUUUUUAUUAAGGAUUCAUACUUUUUCUUAGAGGUCACUGCCAACUUUAUGUCUGCUCCAGAGAUUAUUCCAAAGGCGUUUAAAAGGAGGAAAGGUGAAGUAAGCAACGCCUUUUUCAGCUAGACAAAUGUAAGUACUUUUAAGACAGUGCGUUGUGGUCAAGGCACGAAUAGAAGAUCCUUGCUGUUUUUCAUUGAUAUUGGAUAACUUUGGGCCUUCAUCAUCCUAAUAUCCCACACUUUCCCCAUAUCAAGCCCCAGAAAUUAUGUCUCUCUCUUUGUGCCCUCUUAUUAAUCCAUGCCCAUUGUCUCAACAUAGUCAACCAGUUAAUGUAGGCAAAUUUAUUCUUUUACAUAAUUACAAUGUAAUGUUUAUCCUGUGCCAGCUGUGUUGUUCCAGGCACUGGGCCAUUGCACUAAGAAUACAGGUGUACAAACUGUAUACAAAUUAGGUAAUUUAAACAUACACAAAUAAUUGAGAUUUUUGAUAGUCAAUUGUCAUUCAACUCCAUAAACACUGAAUGGUUUCAGUUUGUUAGAUACGACCCUAGGUUUUAGGAAUAAAAAACUUCAAGGACCCCUGGUGCCUGUAAAGUGAUACAGUCAGGAAACAACUACCGUGAAGUGGUAAAUGCUACAAUGGAAACCAAGAUACACAGAUUAAGAGAUUUCUGAUAAAGGACCUGUGAAAAGCCUCAAAGAGUUUAGUGAAGGAAUUUCCUCUGUUCUUCACUCUUUUUCUUUUUGUUUUUAAGUAUUUAUUUA